ensembl:lincRNA
GUCCUCACUGCGUGUUGUCGCACUCGUGUAUCCUGCCGGUGCCCGCCUGUGUCGCCACCACACCCGGCUAAUCGGUGUUUUUAGUAGAGACGCGGUUUCUCUAUGUUGGUCAGGCUGGUCUCGAACUCCUGACCUCAGGCGAUCCACCCCUCACCAUCCCAAAGUGCUGAGAUUACAGAGCUAAACCACGGAGCCCAACCAGAACUGUGAUUUUGGUAGUACCCACGAGGCAGGAUUCUCUUAGUAACACCACGUAUUAUUUCCUAUGAAGUUACCUCCAACAGUCAGCUUGCUAAGAGCCUCAGCAUUUCAAGAUUGGGCAGGACUGGCCAGGCACAGUGGCUUAUGUGUGUAAAAUCACGCCUGUCACCGCAGCACUUUGGGAGGCCGAGGUAGGCACAUUACCUGAGGUCGGGAGUUUGAGACCAGCCCGGCUGACGUGGUGAAACCCCGUCUGUACUAAAAACACAAAAUUAGCCGGGCGUGGUGGCGUAUGCCUGUAAUCCCAGCUACGUGGGAGGCUGAAGCAGAAUGGCUGGAACCUGGGAGGCGGAGGUUGCGUUGAGCCGAGAGCACACCAUUGCACUCCUGUCGGGGUGACAAGAGUGAGACGCCAUCUCGAAAAAAAAAAAGAAAAGUAACGCGAAGUGCACUUGCUGGUCUUUGAACUGUAACUUUGGAUACCCUCCCCCGCCACCAUCGAAUCCCCCAAAUCCCCCAGAGUCCAGUAUACCACCACGUAGGAUUUCACUGGAACUGCUAAGGAAACCAUGCCCGGAUUACUGUGUUAUAAUCUAUGAAGUCACAGGAGUGAAAACAUGUCCAAGAGUGGAUGAAGCAGUUACCACGGCUCCAGGACAGGAACUCGGACCAUGUCUCCGUGGGUCGUGGCUGUUUUGUGGGAGGGUGUGCAGGACCCACCCAGUCCCCGUGGGCCAUGGCUAGUUUCUGGAGUGUGUGCAGAACCCACGGGUCCCUGUGGGUUGUGCCUGUUUUGUGGAGGGUGUGCAGGACCACGGUCCCGUGGGCCAUGCUAGUUGUGGGAGGGUGUGCAUACCCACGGGUCCGUGGGUUGCGCUGUUUGUGAUGAGGGGUGCAGACCCACGGAGUCCCGUGGGCCAGGCGUAGUUCUGGAGGGUGUGCAGGACCCACGGGUCCCCGUGGGUCGUGCUGUGUUGUGGAGGGUGUGCAGGACCCACAGGGUUGGAUGCGAAGCUUCCUGUUCUCCCACUGCUCCGGGCCGAACACGUGACUAAACACGGGACCAUCGGUGACACA